rnacentral:lncRNA from 1 species
AGUAUCAUUUGCAAAACUCAACAAGGAAAGAUGCCUGUGGAUGGCCGUGUUCUGGGAGUCACUGUGAUGAGGUGCUGCCUGCUUUCGCCCAACCUGAUCUGGGGCUCAGACAGCUAACAGGCCCGAGUGGCUAGGAGCCAGGUUCUCACACGUCCCUGAGGAACUAGAGAGGAACGCCUCUGGGAAGCCCAGCCAGAGCCAACUGGAAGGGCCUUUUGGUGAAGUCUGACAUCCUACAUUAGUUUCUCUGGACCUGGCAGAGCUCCCUGGAUAAAUCAUGAACAGAAGCAUCUAUGACCGACAGUUGCUCUGUGUCCUUCUAGCCUCGCAGGAGUUUCCAGCUCAUGAGGGCAGAGGAGAUGAAGAGAGGCCGAUCGACGUGAGGGU